AUCAUGACUUGAAGUAAUAUGCAAUCAACACCGAACAGCGAUUAAAAAUUUCGAUUCUUAGAUCGUAGUAAAUUUUAAUGGCAGUGAUACUGCACAGCACACAUACCAUACAACGACCAACCUUUUAACUUUUUCAUAACAAUUGACGGUGAUGCAAACUUUUCUUAUCUUUUUAUCGUAAAAUUGUCGGUAUGCGAUUUUUGUUGUCGUUUUAAGUAUAUAUCUGUGAUUCACGAAAAUUUCACAACUUAAAACCUCCCCGAUAAAGUUCAUUACUUAAAGUAAAGCGUUUUAUGUGCCAGCUAACAAUUUGAAAAUUGGGUAAAAGUUACAAUAGCAACGUAGUAUUUUGUGUGUUAUCAAACGGAGAAUUUUGUGGGAAUACGGAGAAUGUCUGUGUGUACGUAACAAAGUGAAUUGCAAAAAGUAAGAAGCAUUCCUUGGUAUGUGCUGAAUUAUUUUUUUUUUUGCGUUUGAUAAUAAAACUUAAACAUUUGGUUGGAAAAGUUAACGAUUCAAGAGAAGAAUAAGA